AGUGCAGAAAUUGAAAAAAAGAAAAUUUAAAAAGAAGUAAAUACUAAGAUGGAGUUUGCAAAAACCUGAAGUCAUUAUGAGGUGAAUCUCGAUGGCCUAUUUGGAAGCGAAAAGUCGAGGAUCUUCUAGAUUUCUACGAGGGAGUUUUCGAUGUAAUUGAACAGAGAAUUACAAAUCUCGGACCCGUGCAACAAGGAACAGCAGAAGUUUAAGUGAGGGAAUACAAAAACUGUUGUGAUAUCUAUCGAAAAGUUGUGAGAUAUAUCGAAAAAGUUACGCCAAAAGUCUGAUCAGAAGCCCAAUUUUCAUGAAGGGAAUGGAUAAAAAAUCUGUUCCAUUAUGAAGCAAUCAAAAGAUCAAAUGUUAAUAGAGCUAUUUUCUUUUGAAUGGAUAGCAGAAAAGGAUAGUUUGACAUAUAUGUAUAUCAAAGUUUCAAAACCCGAUCUGAACAAGCUCUCAAAUGCUGUAAAUUGAAAUCACCACCAUUCAAGGAAAGAUUCCAAAGUUUUGAAGCUGGCACAGCACGACCGCUUGACAUGAUAAAAGCUAACAGGAAGCCAUUGUCUGAACUGAAGGACAUUCAGAACCAUGCCUCAAGAGGGAGAUGGAAAUGUAUGACUAGUGAAGCAACAUGCCGAAGUAUUUAGUUCUUGGAAAUCCUUAUGCAAUCUGGUGAGAGAUUUAUAGAGCUGCGGUAAGCAAUCGCUACAUAUUAUUGUCAAUGUACACAUAAACAUGGGACCGCUAUCUUGGCAAAUGUGUAACUGUGCCCAUCACUGAUAGAAUAUAACUAGUAUAUACAAAAUUUCACGGCAAAAACAAAUCAGACCUAACCACUGACGAGUGUAUGGCAAAUACAUGGCCAAACUAAUAUUAAGAGAAAAUUGCAGUAACCCAGCUGAGCAAUGGAGCCACGAUACUAUGUGCCAGUAACAGCAAAUACGUGUUUUAACCAUUGUAUAUACGAUUUCUUGGGCUCAUAUAGUGAGAUAUAGCAGGAGAGAUAGUUGGCCCUAACAAUGCUUGUCACUGUUCAUCAGAUAUUCGAUUGAAAAUUUCAAGGCAGUUUUCCACAGUCCGAUAUGUUGAAAGGUAUUUCAAGUAUAAGUAUGAAACUGAACGCCUGGGUUCAAAUCCUGGCGAGAAUAUGACAUUUGUGAGGGACUAUGUCAUUUGAAAAAAUGGUAUGGCAGCCAUGUAAAAACUGACGUAUCGUACUGCGACACGCCAUUUGGACUUGGCCCUAAACAGGAGGCCCCUUACCAUUGGGAUUAAACUUGAAUCGGACAACACUCAGUGAUAGUUUAUUAUAGAAAUUCCAAUAAUAAUGUCCAGUACCAAUUUUAUCAACGGAAUUUGAUUUAGUGCCGUAAAAU